rnacentral:sRNA from 1 species
GAGCUUUAAGAGAGAUAGUCUUGGGCCAAACCUAGCAAAUUCAAGUCGGAUACCUCAGUCGUCCUGCCUUCCACCAGCGAUACAUACCAGCAACACCAAACUAUAAGGAUUACAGCUCGACUUGAUCAAGAUGGAUGCAUGGAAGGACAUCGUACGUAUAUUCUACCGAGCACCCUUAGCAAGUGGCUGAACUAGUUCAACAUCAGCUCGAAGAUAAACUUGAUUUCCCAAAAUUCGAAUAUAGGCGAACCCUCCGCAUCGGCCAUGAUGACAAUCUGUCUGUCCAAGUAUAUGCUGUCCCUGCAGUCAACACAGAUCCGCUCCAAAUUUACGGUUUUCUCUUAGUGAGACGCGGGAUUGCAGCAGCAGAGACUGGGCCAGCAAUAGCAUUUGGCCUAGUGGGAGUUGUGGGUGUCCUUGUCACUGCUGCAUCGGUGUUCUAUAGCAGGAGGGCAGACAGGCGUGCAAAUAUUGCGGGAAGGCAUGACUCAUGCGGUGUUUGUCUACGAACCAUUGCAGAUUUGCUGAAGGCAGACCCACCUCGUUGUCCGACCUGCGCCUCAAUCGAAAUUCCACCAUGUGAAUUUUGUGGUCGACCUGCCGGUCGAGCUCGAAUAUUUGGCACCAGAAGCAUCUGCCAUGAGACAAUCAUAACCAACCCCUCGCGAAAAUGCUCAACAUGUUCAGCAGUAUUUUUUGUUGAGUUUGCUAUGGAGGACACUUCGCAAAGGACAAGAGAAUCACUUGAAAGUGCUCAAUCUUUUGUUACAGCAAGGCAGGUUGUGUUUGAUCAAUCCUCAACCGCAGAAAUUGGAUUUGAGUUGUAACAAGGAGCAGAAGGAUACAGUUGGAUAUUUGAUAUAUACCUGAGAAUAGUAUACAGAAGACAGGAAUGCUGAUUAGGCCUAAAUACAGCUUCUAUAUUUGGAAACGCG